rnacentral:rRNA from 1 species
GACGAACGCUGGCGGCGUGCUUAACACAUGCAAGUCGAACGAAGUGGCGAACGGGUGAGUAACGCAUAAUCAACCUGCCCUUCAGAGGGGGACAACAGUUGGAAACGACUGCUAAUACCGCAUACUGAGGGAAGGGAUGGCGUCAGAUGAGCUAGUUGGAGGGGUAACGGCCCAACAAGGCGAUUAUCAGAAGCCGGUUAGAGAGGAUGAACGGCCACAUUGGGACUGAGACACGGCCCAGACUCCUACUGGAGGCAGCAGUGGGGAAUAUUGGUCAAUGGGCGGUAGCCUGAACCAGCCAAGUAGCGUGAAGGAUGAAGGUCUAUGGGUCGUAAACUUCUUUUAUAUAAGAAUAUGUAUUAUAUGAAUAAGGAUCGGCUAACUCCGUGCCAGCAGCCGCGGUAAUUC